GACGAACGCUGGCGGCGUGCCUAAUACAUGCAAGUAGAACGCUGAAGGAGGUGCUUGCUUCUCUGGACGAGUUGCGAACGGGUGAGUAACGCGUAGGUAACCUGCCUGGUAGCGGGGGAUAACUAUUGGAAACGAUAGCUAAUACCGCAUAAUAGCAGUUGUUGCAUGACAACUGUUUGAAAGGUGCAAUUGCACCACUACCAGAUGGACCUGCGUUGUAUUAGCUAGUUGGUGGGGUAACGGCUCACCAAGGCGACGAUACAUAGCCGACCUGAGAGGGGGAUCGGCCACACUGGGACUGAGACACGGCCCAGACUCCUACGGGAGGCAGCAGUAGGGAAUCUUCGGCAAUGGACGGAAGUCUGACCGAGCAACGCCGCGUGAGUGAAGAAGGGUUUCGGAUCGUAAAGCUCUGUUGUAAGAGAAGAACGAGUGUGAGAGUGGAAAGUUCACACUGUGACGGUAUCUUACCAGAAAGGGACGGCUAACUACGUG
rnacentral:rRNA from 1 species